UGAUCUAUAUAAAGAGGUGUGGGCCUACAACACGCAACACGAGGUUCGUCGUGUUGCCGCACACCCCAUCGACACAUCCUAUCGAUCUAGGUCAGCGCAGUAGUGACGGAAAGCUCCGGCGCCACCACUGCCUAUUCACCGUCACCGCCGUCGCCCUCCAUCAUGGUCACCUCGACAGGAUCGUCGAGCCAAUGUGAAGGUACCCCUCUUCCUCCCACCCCUCUAUUCUCUCUCUCUCAAAUGCCUAGACAGAUGUCGUGUAUAGAUGCACUACCAUUAAUCUCUAGCCUAGAUGAUCCUUACAUUCUAUCAAUGGUAUCAGUCCAAGGUUGGUUUAGAAUUUUCGAUAGUAAAGAAAUCAAAGAUUUUUCCCUCCCGUAGAACCCUAAUCACACAAAUGG
rnacentral:lncRNA from 1 species